rnacentral:lncRNA from 1 species
CCAACAACAAGAAGAGAGUUCUUGGGUCCUGAGCAUCCAGGAGGGACAAAAUGCCACCAUGAACUGCAGUUAUAAAACUAGUACUAACAACCUGCAGUGGUACAGACAGGACUCAGGUAAAAGUCCUGCUCUGGUGAUUUUAAUACGUUCAAAUGAGAAAGAAAAACACAGUGGAAGACUAACAGCCACCCUGGACACCUCCACCAAAAGAAGCGUCCUGUCCAUCACGGCUUCCCAGGCUGCAGAUGCUUCCACUUACUUCUGUGCUACAGAUGCACAGUGAUCAGCAGGCACCUGCAGCCCUGACGCAAACCCU